CCUAUCAUGCAAGUAGAACGCUGAGGACUGGGUGCUUGCACCGGUCCAAGGAGUUGCGAACGGGUGAGUUAACGCGUAGGUAACCUACCUCAUAGCGGGGGAUAACUAUUGGAAACGAUAGCUAAUACCGCAUAAAAGUGUUUAACACAUGUUAACCAUUUAAAAGGUGCAAUUGCAUCACUAUGAGAUGGACCUGCGUUGUAUUAGCUAGUUGGUGAGGUAACGGCUCACCAAGGCGACGAUACAUAGCCGACCUGAGAGGGUGAUCGGCCACACUGGGACUGAGACACGGCCCAGACUCCUACGGGAGGCAGCAGUAGGGAAUCUUCGGCAAUGGACGGAAGUCUGACCGAGCAACGCCGCGUGAGUGAAGAAGGUUUUCGGAUCGUAAAGCUCUGUUGUUAGAGAAGAAUGAUGGUGGGAGUGGAAAAUCCACCAUGUGACGGUAACUAACCAGAAAGGGACGGCUAACUACGUGCCAGCAGCCGCGGUAAUACGUAGGUCCCGAGCGUUGUCCGGAUUUAUUGGGCGUAAAGCGAGCGCAGGCGGUUCUUUAAGUCUGAAGUUAAAGGCAGUGGCUCAACCAUUGUACGCUUUGGAAACUGGAGAACUUGAGUGCAGAAGGGGAGAGUGGAAUUCCAUGUGUAGCGGUGAAAUGCGUAGAUAUAUGGAGGAACACCGGUGGCGAAAGCGGCUCUCUGGUCUGUAACUGACGCUGAGGCUCGAAAGCGUGGGGAGCAAACAGGAUUAGAUACCCUGGUAGUCCACGCCGUAAACGAUGAGUGCUAGGUGUUAGGCCCUUUCCGGGGCUUAGUGCCGGAGCUAACGCAUUAAGCACUCCGCCUGGGGAGUACGACCGCAAGGUUGAAACUCAAAGGAAUUGACGGGGGCCCCGCACAAGCGGUGGA
rnacentral:rRNA from 1 species